GGUCGCAAGUUUGAGGCCAUAGCAGAAGCCUUCAUGAUGUGGCCUGUCAGAUGCCAACAAAUCUGCAAAUUCAGUU
rnacentral:ribozyme from 1 species